GAUGAACGCUAGCUACAGGCUUAACACAUGCAAGUCGAGGGGUAACGAGAGGAAAGCUUGCUUUCCUUGUCGACGACCGGCGCACGGGUGAGUAACGCGUAUCCAACCUGCCCCCAACUAGGGAAUAACCUUGCGAAAGUAAGACUAAUACCCUAUAAUUUCCUCAGAUGUCAUCUGACGAGGAAUAAAGAUUUAUCGGUUGUGGAUGGGGAUGCGUCUGAUUAGCUUGUUGGCGGGGUAACGGCCCACCAAGGCAACGAUCAGUAGGGGUUCGGAGAGGAAGGUCCCCAACAAUGGAACUGAGACACGGUCCAAACUCCUACGGGAGGCAGCAGUGAGGAAUAUUGGGCAAUGGGCGGAAGCCUGAACCAGCCAAGUAGCGUGCAGGAUGACGGCCCUAUGUGUUGUAAACUGCUUUUAUACAGGAAUAAAGUUAGCCACGUGUGGUUAUUUGUAGGUACUGUAUGAAUAAGGACCGGCUAAUUCCGUGCCAGCCGCCGCAGUAA
rnacentral:rRNA from 1 species